GUUAGCACAAAACCAGCGGGAAUUUAAUUAUUCCCUAACUCUGGUGAUUCUGAACGACUGCGCUGAUCGCACGGCCAUGCGCUGGCGACGGUUCGAAUGAGUGUCCGCCCUAUCAGCUUGACGGUAGGUUAAGAGCCUACCGUGGCUUUCACGGGUAACGGGGAAUCUGGGUUCGAUUCCGGAGAGGCAGCCUGAGAAACGGCUACCACAUCUAAGGAAGGCAGCAGGCGCGCAAAUUACCCAAUCUCGGCACGGGGAGGUAGUGACGAAAAAUAACGGUGCAGCGCUCCUACGAGUGUCUGUAAUCGGAAUGAGUCAGGUCUAAAUUCUCGAACGAGGAUCUAUUGGAGGGCAAGUCUGGUGCCAGCAGCCGCGGUAAUUCCAGCUCCAAUAGCGCAUAUUAAAGUUGUUGCGGUUGAAACGCUCGUAGUUGGACGUCGGUUCUAAGCUUAGUGGUCCGCGCAUGUUUUCGCGGUUACUGCUGGGUUUGGAGCGUAUUCGCUUGAGUCUUUGUUAGAUGCUCUUAAUCGGGUGUCUACAAUGGCAAGCACGUUUUACUUUUGAGAAAAUCAGUGU
rnacentral:rRNA from 1 species